rnacentral:misc_RNA from 1 species
GCAAACUUGGUCAUUUAGAGGAAGUAAAAGUCGUAACAAGGUUUCCGUAGGUGAACCUGCGGAAGGAUCAUUAUUGAAUUAUGUUUCUAAAUGGGUUGUAGCUGGCUCUUUAGAGCAUGUGCACGCCUGUUUGGACUUCAUUUUCAUCCACCUGUGCACCUUUUGUAGUCUUUGGAUGGGUAUCGAGGAAGUGGUCAACCUAUCAGCAUUUGCUGGAUGUAAGGACUUGCAGUGUGAAAGCCCUGCUGUCUUUUACUUGACCACAGAGUCGUGUUCUCACCAGAGUCUACGUUAUUCAUUAUACCCUACUGAAUGUCAUUGAAUGUCUUACAUGGGCUAUAUGCCUAUUAAAUUGUAAUACAACUUUCAGCAACGGAUCUCUUGGCUCUCGCAUCGAUGAAGAACGCAGC